CGAGGUGUAGCGCAGUCUGGUCAGCGCAUCCGUUUGGGGUACAGAGGGCCAUAGGUUCGAAUCCUGUCACCUUGC
rnacentral:ncRNA from 15 species